GAUGAACGCUGGCGACGUGCCUAAUACAUGCAAGUCGAGCGAACGGACGAGAAGCUUGCUUCUCUGAUGUUAGCGGCGGACGGGUGAGUAACACGUGGAUAACCUACCUAUAAGACUGGGAUAACUUCGGGAAACCGGAGCUAAUACCGGAUAAUAUUUUGAACCGCAUGGUUCAAAAGUGAAAGACGGUCUUGCUGUCACUUAUAGAUGGAUCCGCGCUGCAUUAGCUAGUUGGUAAGGUAACGGCUUACCAAGGCAACGAUGCAUAGCCGACCUGAGAGGGUGAUCGGCCACACUGGAACUGAGACACGGUCCAGACUCCUACGGGAGGCAGCAGUAGGGAAUCUUCCGCAAUGGGCGAAAGCCUGACGGAGCAACGCCGCGUGAGUGAUGAAGGUCUUCGGAUCGUAAAACUCUGUUAUUAGGGAAGAACAUAUGUGUAAGUAACUGUGCACAUCUUGACGGUACCUAAUCAGAAAGCCACGGCUAACUACGUGCCAGCAGCCGCGGUAAUACGUAGGUGGCAAGCGUUAUCCGGAAUUAUUGGGCGUAAAGCGCGCGUAGGCGGUUUUUUAAGUCUGAUGUGAAAGCCCACGGCUCAACCGUGGAGGGUCAUUGGAAACUGGAAAACUUGAGUGCAGAAGAGGAAAGUGGAAUUCCAUGUGUAGCGGUGAAAUGCGCAGAGAUAUGGAGGAACACCAGUGGCGAAGGCGACUUUCUGGUCUGUAACUGACGCUGAUGUGCGAAAGCGUGGGGAUCAAACAGGAUUAGAUACCCUGGUAGUCCACGCCGUAAACGAUGAGUGCUAAGUGUUAGGGGGUUUCCGCCCCUUAGUGCUGCAGCUAACGCAUUAAGCACUCCGCCUGGGGAGUACGACCGCAAGGUUGAAACUCAAAGGAAUUGACGGGGACCCCCACAAGCGGUGGAGCAUGUGGUUUAAUUCGAAGCAACGCGAAGAACCUUACCAAAUCUUGACAUCCUUUGACAACUCUAGAGAUAGAGCUUUCCCCUUCGGGGGACAAAGUGACAGGUGGUGCAUGGUUGUCGUCAGCUCGUGUCGUGAGAUGUUGGGUUAAGUCCCGCAACGAGCGCAACCCUUAAGCUUAGUUGCCAUCAUUAAGUUGGGCACUCUAAGUUGACUGCCGGUGACAAACCGGAGGAAGGUGGGGAUGACGUCAAAUCAUCAUGCCCCUUAUGAUUUGGGCUACACACGUGCUACAAUGGACAAUACAAAGGGCAGCGAAACCGUGAGGUCAAGCAAAUCCCAUAAAGUUGUUCUCAGUUCGGAUUGUAGUCUGCAACUCGACUACAUGAAGCUGGAAUCGCUAGUAAUCGUAGAUCAGCAUGCUACGGUGAAUACGUUCCCGGGUCU
rnacentral:rRNA from 1 species